CGUUUAGUCAUCGGGAACACGGCCUCCCCUCCCAUUCGUGACUUGACGUACGAUAAACCUGAGUCCAAGUAAAACGAUCUUGAUAAAACCUUAAWUAAACAAGCGGAAAAUCACUCAAGUUAUCAAGCAACCAACAACACAAUAAAGCAAGAACAGAAAUCCUUCCACAAAGAUGAGUGACGAAGAAGCUGACAUAAUGGAGAUCCGUGGCCAUGUCACAGACCCCGGUAUUUACUGGGACCCGGCAAGAGAGGUUCAUACCGUAGACGUCUUCACGGGAAUUGAGYUGUACCAACACCUGAAGCUACCAACGGGAGCCGAUAAUCGAGAAAUACGAAGGAUGCUUGAAGAAAGCUUCAACGAGAAGAAGAGAAUGACCAUAGAAUAUCUAAUCAAGAACAAGACCAUCUUAUCAGUCAAAUACAGAUAAAUUCUGCACCACCCCCACCCCUAUGCAUAUUAUUGAAUAUUCACCUUGGAGUACAAAUUGAUUCAAAACUGUCAUACCCUAUAUAUAUUGAUGUAAAAGCUAAUAAAACUGAUGUGACGUGAUGUGGUUCA